rnacentral:rRNA from 1 species
UACGGGGGGGGUAAGCGUUGUUCGGAAUUACUGGGCGUAAAGGGCUCGUAGGCGGCCAACUAAGUCAUACGUGAAAUCCCUCAGCUUAACUGGGGAACUGCGUGUGAUACUGGAUGGCUUGGAUUUGGGAGAGGGAUGCGGAAUUCCAGGUGUAGCGGUGAAAUGCGUAGAUAUCUGGAGGAACACCGGUGGCGAAGGCGGGACUCUGGGCCGAUACUGACGCUGAGGAGCGAAAGCGUGGGGAGCGAACAGG